UUUUCUCAACUGAAAUUUGAAGAGUGAAGAAAUCAAAUCGAGAUUUCAAUCCAAUCAAAUCGAGUCGCAUUAGCUUCUUCUUCUUAACCAUCUGUGAAGAACUCAAGUCGAAACCUAGAAGAACAGAUUGAAUGGUUGUUUCAAAUAGGUUUCUGAAAUUGAAGGUUAGGGUCUUGGAGGAAGUUGAUGUUAAUGGGAAAUCGAUGAAAUUGAAGAUACAAAGGGAUGUUAGAGUCAGCUCUUAUUAUAAUUGCAUGUUUGAUUAAACAACAACGGGGCUUCAUAAGAGGGUCUGGAAGGAUGAGAAUCUGAAGUUUAGGGUCGAUUUGAUGUUUUUGAGAUUUGUGUUCUUAUUUAAACUUGAUUGCAAGAGAGGAAACGUUGGUGGUGACUGAACAUGAGAAUGCAUCGAGGUUGAUGGAUUUUGGUAAAGAUGCAGAUGCAGUUUUUGAAGAUGAAUUUUAAUUAUGUAUAUGUCUCUAUUCAUUUUCUGUGUAGUUCUGUUUACGUCUCUAUGCAAACAACUUUUUUUUAUUGUAUAUCUGUUCAAUUUCUUAGGAACCAUUAAUUAAUUUUGUAACAUGGUUUUGAUC